rnacentral:rRNA from 1 species
CGGCGGACGGGUGAGUAACGCGUGGGUAACCUGCCUCAUACAGGGGGAUAACAGUUAGAAAUGACUGCUAAUACCGCAUAAGACCACAGCACCGCAUGGUGCGGGGGUAAAAACUCCGGUGGUAUGAGGUGGACCCGCGUCUGAUUAGCUAGUUGGUAAGGUAACGGCUUACCAAGGCGACGAUCAGUAGCCGACCUGAGAGGGUGACCGGCCACAUUGGGACUGAGACACGGCCCAA